UGCAUUUCCAGCAGGUUGUGCCGCCCGCCCCAGGGGAGAUCUUGGGAGCUUUGUAGCAACUUGGCAUCUCCUGAGUCGCCAGAGAGAAUUUGCCUUAUUGUACUGAGUGCUGAGGAGUGGGCGCUGGGUGGCUUCCCUGGGCAAGCUGGUUGCUGAGCUGCACAGGCCCUUGCAUUUUCUGGGCUGUUCCCGUGUUUCAUUCCUCCCCUUCCCGGACAGUAUUUGAACAAGACAUAUUUUACUAAAGGUCUCGUGGAUUGCGGAGCCCCACGACAUCACCUCAUCGAUGCAGUCGAUGGUUUGUUCCAGAUUCAGGCUUGUUUCCGGGAAGAAACCCUGACAGAAAUUCAGAAGAAUGGGAGCUGCAUUCCGUUAGGACAUGAAUACAUGAAAUGCUCGUCUUGGGAACUCCUAGAAGAAUGAGCUGGGACCCACUUUCCGAGUCCUGCUAGAACCAGUGACCGAGAAAAUAAAAAGGCCCUGGAAGACAAGUGUGAUGCAUUGAGGUCUGUGAAAGCCACAAAGGAAGCAAAGUCAAACAGCUGAAGGAGAAAGCACAUAACCUGGAAGAAUUCUAUGAACAAAGAAAAGUGCCUACAAAAAAGAAGCUGAAAGUGACACUGUGAACUGGCGGCAAAGAAGAAUCAGCUGGCAGCUGCAGGUAAAAUUUGAAAAUAGCUACAGAAGGGGCACCGGGGUGGCUCAGUCGUUUAAGCGUCCAACUUCAGCUCAGGUCAUAAUUUCACAGGCCGUGAGUUUUAUACCAAAACACAUGCAUUAAAUCUGUUAUGUGAAUUUCUCCCUCUUUUUUCUGUUGCACAUAAUUACUCUGUGUCCUGUAGUAUGCUUAAAGUCAGAAUUCCCUAUGAAUUAAUAUGAACUCAUCUGAGCUUUGUAGACAUUCACAAGUAACUUGUUCCUCACAGAAGACUCUCGUUCCCCUGAAAGAUUCCAGGCAUCAUCCACUCCCAAGG